GCGUGCUCGAUAGGUAGCCGAUUUGAUAGUUCGAUGGGUACACGAAACUACAAAUCAACCAAAUUUAAGUUCUUUUGACGCAAUUCCGCACCUCCGUCUAAUUACUCUAAUUUGCGUCAAACCGCUAUAGUGGUCUCUAAAUAGUUCUUAUUUGAUCGCGGCAAAAAUUUUCACCCAGUGGUAAGUUAUUUUCACUCAGCGGAGGCUUUUUUUGAAAUUUGGGUUUAGUCAAGAUAAUCCAAAUUUGGCUUCUUACACGGAGCAGCACGCAUGUGUCGGUGCUUCUCUCUUCGUUUUUGACAACAUUCGUGUGGGGCGAGGGGGAAACUCAAACAAUGCUGAGUAAAAAUAAGAGCUGUUAGCCAAAUUUGAGUUUUUAAAACUUAUUCCCUGGGUUAAAAUAUUUUUCAGUGUAGAUUUGGUUUCAGUCUUUGCGGGACUCUGAUAUAAACAGACUCUUACACCGAAAAAUAUUUCUACUCAGUAACAAAUUUUGAAAACGACGUACAAUCAAUGACCAUUCGCGACUACGAAGGUAAAAGAGAUUCCAACUCUUUGUCGCUCUAAUGAAAAACCUCGUAAGGAACUGUAAGAAUGUGCGUGAAAAAAAAGCAAAAAAUAUUUACCUCUCGUUUUUUCUCACGUAAACCUUCACGCACAUUCGACAACUUCGUAGUCGCGAAUUGAUUUAAGGCAUAUCGCAAUUUUUGGUAGCUUUUCUUGUUUUGCGUGCAAUGAGCCAUUUUACGAGACGUUUCGGAUCAGCUGAUCGCUUAUUUCAUGAAUGAAAAUUUGACAGGAGGUUGCGCCCAAGCCCGUGAGUGUUAAUAUCAAUAUCAACACUGUUGUCGUUUCAUAAAAUAGACUAUUAUGUUUCCAGUUCAAAACCGAAUCAGCGACAUGUUUUCUUUUACUUUCGCUUCUUUUGCCUGCUUUUGUCGGAAGUGGCGCGCUGCAUUGUACGCCUGUAAGUCUAUACAGCGUGCUGCUUCCGACAUUGUGUUUAAUGCAAGGCAAAAGCAGCGAAAGUCGAAGUAAAAAUGUCGCUAAUUUGGUUUUGAACUGAAAACAUAAUAUCUGGAGUAUGAAAUAAAAAUAAUGAGCCAUUUUACGAGAUGACAACAUUGUUGAUGAUAUUGAUAUUCACGUGCUAGGUUGCCACCUCUUGUCAGAUUUUCAUCCAUAAUAUUGGCUCGUAAAGCAGACUAUGAGCCAUUUUACGAGACGUUUCGGAUCAGCUGAUCGCUUAUUUUACGAAUGAAAAUUUGACAGGAGGUGUUGCAGAUUCUUCUCCAAAUGCGUAUGUAUUAUAUUAUUUUGCUAGCGCGAUGCAGUGGUUACACAUGUAGUUUUUGUACCACACUCUUGAAAAUAUACACCUUCACAGAUCGAAAAAAGAGUGUAAAAUUCUGUGACAUAUGAUGCACAUAAUUGGAGCGUGGGAUAUCACAGAAGUUUACAUGACAUAUCAUGUAAAAGUCAUAAAAUAUCAUGUAAACUUCCAUUAUAUGUCAUGUAAUUCAGCAUGACUCUGAGAGUUUACAUGACAUAUAACACAAAUUUACAUGAUAUAUCAUGUAAACCAUCAUAACAAUAAGUUUACAUCACUAAAAUGAAGUUUACAUGACGUGUAAAUAUCAUUAUUUUUAACUGUGUUUAUAUUGUAUUUUUUAUAAAUAAUCAGACUUUGGCGACGAAAUUGAACUCGCCCUAAUAUGGUACUAACCUAACAUUUAUGACAUAUUUUCGCCUUCUUUCCCCGAUUCAGGCGAAACCAGCUGAUUUUGUUAUGAAAACAUAAACAGCUGGUAGCCGAGAACAAUAAGGAUGAACGUAAACAUCGGUGAACCAGCUGGUUUUGUUGUGUAAACAUGACCAGCUGGUGGACCGAGAACAAAAGAACUCAAUGGUAAACAUCAAUGAGAGUAUAUUACAGGUGGGGAAGAAGAAGAGAUGGCUAUGUAUUAGUAAGCAAAGAAAAAUGUAAACACAAAUAGUGACGUCACUAUUUGACACGCGUUCUUAUGGGAGCUCGCUUUGCUUGUAGUAGUGACAUGGUUUGCACCAAACACGGAUCUCACGCACACGAAGUGUCUCUUCCACACCUUCAUUAGACUCUCAUUGGGUAAACAUUACGACGGCUGCCGAAAACUGUCACAUUAUCGGACGAAUUACAAAAACCCUGCGACUGAGAUUGACAGCGAAAUCGAAAGCGAAAUAUGAGUACGACGAAAUUUAUCGCAUCAAAGUCUAAGUCGAAAAAAAAAUCGCAAUACAUGUAUGUAUUAUAUAUGCAACCAGCGCACUACGUCUAACGUACAGUAAAUAAACCACCAGGAUUAUUUUUUGGUGUUCGAAAAUUUCCGGUUUUCAACCUUUUCGAUAGUUUUUCUUAGUCUACACGCAUUUUUCCAAAAAGUGCACAAUGCACAUUUGCAAAUAUGCUUAAAUAAUACGCAAAUAUAGGCAAACAAUUUAUCAAACAUUUAGCUCAGGUUUGUAUGAAAUUUACCCAUUUUAGAGUAUCCUUUUCUUAGCGUGCAGAGGUAUCAUGCCGCAGUAUCAAAAAAUCUUUGCUUGCGCAAUUCAGCGGUACGGUAAUGUUGUGUAAACAAAUUUAUUUUGCUAGCGCGAUACAGCGGUACCAACGUACUGCAUGGUGCCCCAUCAGCAUUCGCGACUACGAAGGUACACUGAAAGGAGCCUUGCAGUAAUGACAAGCAUACAAAUGUUUUUAAAUUUACCAUGGCAAAACAUAAUCAUCGACCCACCAACGCUUCUUGUGUGCGUUUUGUUUCUUCUCACAUCAACCGGUUCGAUAGCUGAGUGGUAGCGUGCGAGCCUGGUGAUGUCUAGGUUCUUGGUUCGAAUCCGCCCGGAUUGAAGGAUGUCUACUUGUCGAGUUCAUUUCUACUUCGUCUAGACACCAACCCUAAUUUUCUUUAACAAUUUUGUCUGGUUCUGACCUUAACUACUCACAUGACAUUUGACCAUUCGCAAGACUGUAAAAAAAAAAAAAUCGCGCCAAAAAACUUCUUGUCGCGUUUUAGCAUGUUCUGUGAAAGAAUUUUCCUUUUUUGAAGUUGUGGAGUUUCCUGAUCGGAUCCUGGAACUGCCGCUAAUCGUUGUUGCCGUUCAUUCUGCCUACUCCUGCUGUGAAAUAUGCAAUCAUCUGCCGGAACCCCUUGAGGCCGAAGCUGCUGGAUGAAACGAGCUCCUCUGGAGUUGUGGAGCUUCCUGAUCGGAUCCUGGAACUGCCGCCAAUUGUUGUUACCGUCCAUUCCGUCCUCCCUCGCGUCCUCCUGCUGGGAAAUAUGCAAGUAUCUGCCGGAACUCCUUUGAUGCCGAAGCUGCCGGAUGAAUAGCUGCCAAUAUGCUGACGAAAAUCUUGCAGUUCCUAGAGCUUCCGCCUACUAUACAAAUUUUCGGUUUGGUUAACUUUUAAGUAAGAUAGUGUUACUUUAAUGGGUUUU